rnacentral:rRNA from 1 species
UACGUAGGCAGCGAGCGUUGUUCGGAGUUACUGGGCGUAAAGAGUAUGUAGGCGGUUCUGCAAGUUUGGUGUGAAAUCUCCCGGCUCAACUGGGAGGGUGCGCCGAAAACUGCAGGGCUAGAGUGCGGGAGAGGAAAGCGGAAUUCCUGGUGUAGCGGUGAAAUGCGUAGAUAUUGGGAGGAACACCAGUGGCGAAGGCGGCUCACUGGACCGGAACUGACGCUGAGGCGCGAAAGCGUGGGGAGCAAACGGG